GAAAUGCGAUAAGUAAUGUGAAUUGCAGAAUUCAGUGAGUCAUCGAAUCUUUGAACGCACAUUGCGCCCGCCAGUAUUCUGGCGGGCAUGCCUGUCCGAGCGUCAUUUCAACCAUCAAGCCCCCGGGCUUGUGUUGGGGACCUGCGGCUGCCCGCAGGCCCUGAAAACCAGUGGCGGGCUCGCUGUCACACCGAGCGUAGUAGCAAUCACCUCGCUCAGGGCGUGCUGCGGGUUCCGGCCGUUAAACAGCCUUACAAAACCCAAGGUUGACCUCGGAUCAGGUAGGAAGACCCGCUGAACUUAAGC
rnacentral:misc_RNA from 1 species